CUGCGAGCGUGACGGCGCGAGCAGGUGCGAAAGCAGGUCAUAGUGAUCCGGUGGUUCUGAAUGGAAGGGCCAUCGCUCAACGGAUAAAAGGUACUCCGGGGAUAACAGGCUGAUACCGCCCAAGAGUUCAUAUCGACGGCGGUGUUUGGCACCUCGAUGUCGGCUCAUCACAUCCUGGGGCUGAAGUAGGUCCCAAGGGUAUGGCUGUUCGCCAUUUAAAGUGGUACGCGAGCUGGGUUUAGAACGUCGUGAGACAGUUCGGUCCCUAUCUGCCGUGGGCGCUGGAGAACUGAGGGGGGCUGCUCCUAGUACGAGAGGACCGGAGUGGACGCAUCACUGGUGUUCGGGUUGUCAUGCCAAUGGCACUGCCCGGUAGCUAAAUGCGGAAGAGAUAAGUGCUGAAAGCAUCUAAGCACGAAACUUGCCCCGAGAUGAGUUCUCCCUGAGACUUUAGGUCUCCUGAAGGAACGUUGAAGACGACGACGUUGAUAGGCCGGGUGUGUAAGCGCAGCGAUGCGUUGAGCUAACCGGUACUAAUGAACCGUGAGGCUUAACCUUACA
rnacentral:rRNA from 1 species